AUGAACGCUAGCGACAGGCCUAACACAUGCAAGUCGAGGGCAGCACAAGGAGCAAUCUGAGGUGGCGACCGGCGCACGGGUGAGUAACACGUAUGCAACCUGCCUGUAAGCGGGGAAUAACCCGUUGAAAGACGGUCCAAUACCGCAUAAUACUAAAUUACUGCAUGGUAAUUUAUUUAAACAUUUAUGGCUUACAGAUGGGCAUGCGCAUGAUUAGCUAGUUGGAGAGGUAACGGCUCCCCAAGGCAACGAUCAUUAGGGGUUCUGAGAGGAAGGUCCCCCACACUGGUACUGAGACACGGACCAGACUCCUACGGGAGGCAGCAGUGAGGAAUAUUGGUCAAUGGACGAGAGUCUGAACCAGCCAAGUCGCGUGCAGGAAGAAUGUCCCUAUGGAUUGUAAACUGCUUUUGCAGGGGAAUAAAGUGCAUCACGUGUGAUGUUUUGUAUGUACUCUGCGAAUAAGGAUCGGCUAACUCCGUGCCAGCAGCCGC
rnacentral:rRNA from 1 species